AAUCAACGCUGGCGGCGUGCCUCAGACAUGCAAGUCGAACGCGAAAGUCUCCUUCGGGGGACGAAGUAGAGUGGCGCACGGGUGAGUAACACGUAGGUAAUCUACCUUCGGAGUGGGAAGUAACAACCGGAAACGGUUGCUAAUACCGCAUAAUGCAGCGGCACCUAAUGGUGACAGUUGUUAAAGCGGGGGAGUCUAAGACCUCGCGUCUGAAGAGGAGCCUGCGGCGGAUUA
rnacentral:rRNA from 1 species